rnacentral:rRNA from 1 species
UACGUAGGCAGCAAGCGUUGUUCGGAGUUACUGGGCGUAAAGGGUGUGUAGGCGGUUGGGUCAGUGUGGUGUGAAAUCUCCCGGCUUAACUGGGAGGGUGCGCUACAAACUGUCUGACUAGAGUGUGGGAUGGGAGAGUGGAAUUCCUGGUGUAGCGGUGAAAUGCGUAGAUAUCAGGAGGAACACCGGUGGUGUAGACGGCUCUCUGGACCAUAACUGACGCUGAGACACGAAAGCGUGGGUAGCAAACAGG